rnacentral:rRNA from 1 species
AUUGAACGCUGGCGGCAUGCUUUACACAUGCAAGUCGAGCGGUAACAGGCCUUCGGGUGCUGACGAGUGGCGAACGGGUGAGUAAUGCAUCGGAACGUGCCCAGAGGUGGGGAUAACGCAGCGAAAGCUGUGCUAAUACCGCAUGUGAUCUGAGGAUGAAAGCGGGGGACCAAGCAGCAAUGUUUGGCCUCGCGCCUCUGGAGCGGCCGAUGUCAGAUUAGGUAGUUGGUGGGGUAAAGGCCUACCAAGCCGACGAUCUGUAGCUGGUCUGAGAGGACGACCAGCCACACUGGGACUGAGACACGGCCCAGACUCCUACGGGAGGCAGCAGUGGGGAAUUUUGGACAAUGGGCGCAAGCCUGAUCCAGCAAUGCCGCGUGCGGGAAGAAGGCCUUCGGGUUGUAAACCGCUUUUGUACGGAACGAAAAGGCUCUGGCUAAUACCUGGGGCUGAUGACGGUACCGGAAGAAUAAGCACCGGCUAACUACGUG